UACGUAGGGCGCAAGCGUUGUCCGGAAUUAUUGGGCGUAAAGAGCUCGUAGGCGGUCUGUCGCGUCGGCUGUGAAAGCCCGGGGCUCAACCCCGGGUCUGCAGUCGAUACGGGCAGGCUAGAGUGCGGUAGGGGAGACUGGAAUUCCUGGUGUAGCGGUGAAAUGCGUAGAGAUCGGAAAGAACACCAACGGCGAAAGCACUCUGCUGGGCCGACACUGACACUGAGAGACGAAAGCUAGGGGAGCGAAUGGG
rnacentral:rRNA from 1 species